GACGCGAUAGCGCAGUGGUUAAGCGUGACGACAUCAAAUGAUAGAGGAAGGGACCCGGGUUCGAUUCCCGGGUAGUGUCA
rfam:Aphanomyces astaci strain APO3 cont1.1971, whole genome shotgun sequence.